rnacentral:rRNA from 1 species
AUUGAACGCUGGCGGCAGGCCUAACACAUGCAAGUCGAGCGGAUGAAGGGAGCUUGCUCCUGGAUUCAGCGGCGGACGGGUGAGUAAUGCCUAGGAAUCUGCCUGGUAGUGGGGGAUAACGUCCGGAAACCGGCGCUAAUACCGCAAACGUCCUGAGGGAGAAAGUGGGGGAUCUUCGGACCUCACGCUAUCAGAUGAGCCUAGGUCGGAUUAGCUAGUUGGUGGGGUAAAGGCCUACCAAGGCGACGAUCCGUAACUGGUCUGAGAGGAUGAUCAGUCACACUGGAACUGAGACACGGUCCAGACUCCUACGGGAGGCAGCAGUGGGGAAUAUUGGACAAUGGGCGAAAGCCUGAUCCAGCCAUGCCGCGUGUGUGAAGAAGGUCUUCGGAUUGUAAAGCACUUUAAGUUGGGAGGAAGGGCAGUAAGUUAAUACCUUGCUGUUUUGACGUUACCAACAGAAUAAGCACCGGCUAACUUCGUG